GGGCCGGGUCGCGACUGGCGGACAGAUCAGGUGGGGAACCACCGGGGAGCGACGCAGCAGCUGACGAGGGGUCGUACGCCUGGGCCCCGGGU
rnacentral:ncRNA from 2 species